UACGUAGGGUGCAAGCGUUAUCCGGAAUUAUUGGGCGUAAAGAGCUCGUAGGCGGUUUGUCGCGUCUGCUGUGAAAACCCGAGGCUCAACCUCGGGCCUGCAGUGGGUACGGGCAGACUAGAGUACGGUAGGGGAGAUUGGAAUUCCUGGUGUAGCGGUGGAAUGCGCAGAUAUCAGGAGGAACACCGAUGGCGAAGGCAGAUCUCUGGGCCGUAACUGACGCUGAGGAGCGAAAGCGUGGGGAGCGAACAGG
rnacentral:rRNA from 1 species